rfam:Bacillus sp. SA1-12 scf7180000003486, whole genome shotgun sequence.
UGGGUAGUAUCUAUUCGAACUACACCUUAACAGUGAAACUAAGAUUUAUGAACUUUUCUGCUUUUGUCAAUAGUAAAUGCAGAAUCAAUUGAUAUGAAUGAUACCUUAAUAUUCUGCCUUGAUCCAAAAAGGACUAGGACAGAGGG